GAUGAACGCUGGCGGCGUGCGUAAUACAUGCAAGUCGAACGAAACUUCUUUAUCACCGAGUGCUUGCACUCACCGAUAAAGAGUUGAGUGGCGAACGGGUGAGUAACACGUGGGCAACCUGCCCAAAAGAGGGGGAUAACACUUGGAAACAGGUGCUAAUACCGCAUAACCAUAGUUACCGCAUGGUAACUAUGUAAAAGGUGGCUAUACUACCGCUUUUGGAUGGGCCCGCGGCGCAUUAGCUAGUUGGUAGGGUAAAGGCUUACCAAGGCAAUGAUGCGUAGCCGAAUUGAGAGGUUGAUCGGCCACAUUGGGACUGAGACACGGCCCAAACUCCUACGGGAGGCAGCAGUAGGGAAUCUUCCACAGUGGGCGAAAGCCUGAUGGAGCAACGCCGCGUGGGUGAAGAAGGUCUUCGGAUCGUAAAACCCUGUUGUUAGAGAAGAAAGUGCGUGAGAGUAACUGUUCACGUUUCGACGGUAUCUAACCAGAAAGCCACUGCUAACUACGU
rnacentral:rRNA from 1 species